GGUAGCUGGUCUUAGAGGACGACCAGCCACACUGGAACUGAGACACGGUCCAGACACCUACGGGUGGCAGCAGUCGAGAAUCUUUCACAAUGGGGGCAACCCUGAUGGAGCGACGCCGCGUGGAGGAUAAGGUCUUCGGAUUGUAAACUCCUGUCAUGUGUGAACAAGGUUGUCUUGUUAAUAGCGAGGCAAAUUGAUGGUAACACAAGAGGAAGAGACGGCUAACUCUGUGCCAGCAGCCGCGGUAAUACAGAGGUCUCAAGCGUUGUUCGGAAUCACUGGGCGUAAAGGGUGCGUAGGUGGCGUGGAAAGUCAGAUGUGAAAGCCCGGGGCUCAACCUCGGAAUAGCAUCCGAUACUACCAUGCUAGAGUACUGAAGAGGUGACUAGAAUUCUCGGUGUAGCAGUGAAAUGCGUAGAUAUCGAGAGGAAUACCAACGGCGAAGGCAGGUCACUGGGCAGUUACUGACACUGAGGCACGAAGGCCA
rnacentral:rRNA from 1 species